UCUCGUGCUCUCUCUCUCUCACUCUCUCUCUCUCAAAUAAAUAAAAUCUUUAAAAAAAUAUUAUUGAACUGAACAAUCUGAAUAUGAUGGUGGAUUCUGUUCGGCCCUAAAAAAACAAAACAGCUGAACCAGCAAUGGUACAGCUUUACCAUUCCAGAGACAGACCAAUCAUCAUAUUCCCAUCUAUUGAAGAAGAAACAG